GCCAUGCAACUUCUAGUGAAAUCCCCGGGCUCAACCUGGGAACUGCAUUCGAAACUGGCAGGCUUGAGUCUUGUAGAGGGGGGUAGAAUUCCAGGUGUAGCGGUGAAAUGCGUAGAGAUCUGGAGGAAUACCGGUGGCGAAG
rnacentral:rRNA from 1 species